GAAAAAAUACCUUGGGAGGUACCAUGUGUGGGGGUGUUGAUUUGUUUUUGUUCCUGAUUCUCUGGGAGGGUGAAAUAAAACUUCUGAAAGAAUAGUUUAGGGUAAUUUGCAAAAUGUAGUUUGUCUGACAUAGGAGACUCUGAACCUUGAGAGUGACGCAUCUAAGCUUAAUCUGGCUCCCCCACAAAAAGGAAGAACAGUCACUGGGCCUUCAUGCUAAGGAGCGGAGUUUCUGGGGGAGGGGCAGGGAGGUUAGCAUUUUCUUCUUACUGCUUAAGGUCCCCUUAGGAUUUCCCUGGUGGCUCAGAUGGUAAAGAAUCUGCCUACGAUGCAGGAGACAUAGGUUUGAUCCCCAGGCACAGCUGGAAGGGGCUUUGCCUGCCGGGCUCAUGGAGAAGGACAGAUCUGAAGUCAGAAGCCCUGCAGCUCACAGAUCAUGUGGGCCCGAAUGACUCUGUCCUGUUGGACCUGCAGCAACACACUCCCUAACCCAAGGAAUCCUUCUUGUAUCCAGAGGCAUUCCCCCCAGAGCAGAAGGCUGCUCACAGCCUGGGUGGCCAGCAGAGCUUCCUCCGGGAGAGAGGCUCUAAGAGCAAGGGAGUGGUCAGGGCAGGAGGGCAGGGGGAUAAAGUUCCAAGCCUGAGGCACAGUUCGAAAGAAAGAGGAAGAUGAUGCUUAAUGGUUGUUCUCUCCUUUGUAGCAUAUCUCUACUUUAAUCCAGCCUGUUAACAUUCUGCUAUUUAUUUAAAUGGAGGAUGAGAUGAGGCCCUGUGAGGACACAGUGGCUGUCUACAAGCCAGAAAGAAAGAUCUUACCAGAGAUCAACCCUGCUGACACCUAGAUCUUGGAUUUCCAGACUCCAGAAUGAGACAGUGAUGCUGAAGACAGCACUGUUUGAACAAACCUGCCAAGUACUACAGCUCGAUCAAGUUUAUGUUAUUGCCUUCAGAAGAGACCGUAUCAUCGCUAGUAUUCUCAAAGACUUGAAUUUAAUAAUGGGGUAACUACCAAGGGAAUAAAAUAUUUGCUUUCUUUUUAAACAAUAUUUUCUUCACCUC